CCUACGGGUGACAGCAGUGAGGAAUAUUGGUCAAUGGGCGCGAGCCUGAACCAGCCAAGUCGCGUGAGGGAAGACGGUCCCAUGGAUUGUAAACCUCUUUUGUCGGGGGGCAAAAGACGCCACGCGUGGCGUUCCGAGAGUACUCGAAGAAAAAGCAUCGGCUAACUCCGUGCCAGCAGCCGCGGUAAUACGGAGGAUGCGAGCGUUAUCCGGAUUUAUUGGGUUUAAAGGGUGCGCAGGCGGAAGAUCAAGUCAGCGGUAAAAUUGAGGGGCUCAACCUCUUCGAGCCGUUGAAACUGGUUGUCUUGAGUGAGCGAGAGGUAUGCGGAAUGCGUAGUGUAGCGGUGAAAUGCUGAGAUAUCACGCAGAACUCCGAUUGCGAAGGCAGCAUACCGGCGCUCAACUGACGCUCAUGCACGAAAGUGUGGGUAUCGAACAGGAUUAGAUACCCUUGUAGUC
rnacentral:rRNA from 1 species